rnacentral:lncRNA from 1 species
GGAUGAAGAAGAAAUGAGAAAUAAAAGCGGAAUAAGAGAAGGAGCCGAGGUGUAAUAUUUAAGUUGGAUCAAUUGUGUAUACAACGCAUGGCCUAUUUUAUCUCCAAGAAGGUCAACAAAACAAUCCAAUAACAAUGCUGCAUACAGGAGAGGACAAGAUGGGCUGCAGGCAGGGCAGUUCAGCAGACGGGAACACAGGCAACCAGAAUGACCGUCAUAAAAGAAACAGGAGUUAUCAAAGGGAAGAUAACCACAAAAACUUGUGAAGGGCAAGGAAAUGCAUCAUCUCCACUGUCUUCAAAGAAGGUGUGGUGCAGAUUCAUCAGUUUCCCAAGUGUCUGUGCGCCAGUUGGACUUACCAUCUGCCUGCCCAGGAUGAUUUCCCUACCACACCACUGAUCAACAGUGUACUAAACUUCUCUCCAUGAACUGAACCAGCUGCAUCCUGCCUGUCUGGCUCUUGAAGAAAAAGAUGGAAGCAGUUCAUCCAAGAAACUGCGGUCUGGAUUCAACAGCUUCUCCUGCCUGCCUUAGAUGCUUUCUCUAGCUGGAGAGUUGUUAAGAUGGAGGACUGACAGCAAAAGUAUUGUCACAGAGGCCCAUGCUAAUUCCACACAGCAAGAGGAGGGUGGACAGCAGAGAUGUCAGUGACGACCAGGCAGCAGGAGUUAUGAUGCACCGCAACAGCUGGUGAAAGAAUAGUGAUGGGCCAAGGAAAUGCACCACCACCACUGUCUGCAAAGGUGUGGAUCCUCUCGCCAAAGAAGGUGUGGUGUGGAUUCUCCAGUCUCCCGGGUAUCUGUGCACCAGUUGGAUUUACACCAGCUGCUUGCCCAGAAAGACUUCCCAAUCACACCACCGAUCAAUAGCGUACCAAGCUUCUCUCCACGAGCUAGACCAGCAGCAUCUUUCUUAUCUGGCUCACCAAGAAAAGGAUGAAAGCAGUUCACCUAAGAGAAACUGUGGCCUGAAUUCAACAGCUUCUCCUGCCUGCCUUGGACCCCCUAGCUCACCACCACUGUAGAACAACAGCAAAAGUAGCAAUUUGUCCCCAAAAAAUGGCCCGGAAAAAGCUGUAUUAGUUGAAAAUACUCUCUGGAGAUAGUGUAGUAAGGAAUUUAUUUAUAUAAUAUCUAUUAAAUUAGUAUACUACAACAUCUCUGGAGAUUCUAAAGAGUAUUUUUUUAGUCCGACCAAUUUUUUGUGGCCAUAUUUUAUUUAUUAAGUCUGCUCAGAAAAUAUCAGCCUUUUACAGUUUCUUCGUCUAACCUAAGUAAGAGAGACAAUGGCGCCUUAUUAUCUAUCUAUCCUUCAGACCUCAAACACUAACUACUCCCACCAUAUCUUACAUUUUGCAAAGUCCUCUUUAGAAUCUUCAUUAGCUGGCCUGUUACAUUUUCUAUUUAAUUUCAUCUAUGAUCUAUGGACUGUAAUCUCCUUGCUUUUAAUGGUGAUUUUAGCUUUGGGAAAUCCAGAAAUCACAGGGAGCUAGAUCUGGGCUUAAGGACGGCUGUAUGAACUGGGUGAUAGAUUGUUUUGCUAAAAAUCCCAGCGUGAUGUGUCUGUAGUUGUGGCUUUGUGGAGACUGGAUCCUUCAUCAUGAUAAUGCACCUGCUUAUUCUUCAUGUGUUGUAUUGUGAUUUUUGGCAAAACAAUCCAUCACUCAGCUCAUUCAGUCCCCUACAGCCCUGAUGUAGCUCUCUUUGAUUUCAGAAUUUUCCCAAAGCUAAAAUCACUGCUAAAAGGAAGGAGAUUUAAGUCCAUAGACGAAAUUAAGAAGAAUGCAACGAGCCAGCUGAUGAAGAUCCCAAAAAAGGACUUCGCAAAAUGUUUUGAAACGUGGAAUGGACACUGGAAGAAGUGUGUGAUAUCUGAAGGAGAGUAGGGUGCCAUUGUCCCACCUAGGUUAGACAUAUUUCUUGAAAUUGUAAAUGGCUGAAUGCGUUUCAGACAGACCAGACCAGACAAGACUUUUGCUGUUGGUGAGCUGGGGGCUGGCAUGAAGGUAUUAAACCCAGAACCCCACAAUGAACUACUACUGUCCUCUGCAGUGUACUGAAGAGGCCACAGUGAGUUGGGCAGGCAGGAGGAGGUUGGCCCACUUGGCACUGGCUCUGAAGGCUUCUAUUCUUCCUCGUCAGCCUCUCUCUUCUGUGAUGGACUCCUGAAGCUUACUCAUUCUAGGAGUGCAUGUCUUUCACUGUUUGGGUCUUGCAUGCUGGAAAAUAAAAACAUGGAUUCUUAA